GGGUGGGCGAGGAGCUAAAAGGCUGGGUGGGCGGGGAGUUAAAAGGCUGGCUGGGUGGGGAGCUAAUAGGCUGGGUGGGCGAGGAGCUAAUAGGCUGGGUGGGCGAGGAGCUAAUAGACUGGGUGAGCGAGGAGCUAAUAGGCUGGGUGGGCGAGGAGCUAAAAGGCUGGGUGGGCGGGGAGUUAAAAGGCUGGCUGGGUGGGGAGCUAAUAGGCUGGGUGGGCGAGGAGCUAAUAGGCUGGGUGGGCGAGGAGCUAAUAGACUGGAUGGACGAGGAGCUAAUAGACUGGGUGGGCGAGGAGCUAAUAGACUGGGUGGGCGAGGCACUAAUAGGCUGGGUGGGCGAGGAGCUAAUAGACUAGGUGGGCGAGGAGCUAAUAGACUGGGUGGGCGAGGAGCUAAUAGGCUGGGUGGGCGAGGAGCUAAUAGACUGGGUGGGCGAGGAGCUAAUAGGCUGGGUGAGCGAGGAGCUAAUAGGCUGGGUGGGCGAGGAGCUAAAAGGCUGGGUGGGCGGGGAGUUAAAAGGCUGGCUGGGUGGGGAGCUAAUAGGCUGGGUGGGCGGGGAGCUAAUAGGCUGGGUUGGCGGGGAGCUAAUAGGCUGGGUAUGCGAGGAGCUAAUAGACUGGGUGGGCGGGGGCUAAUAGGCUGGGUUGGCGGGGAGCUAAUAGGCUGGGUAUGCGAGGAGCUAAUAGGCUGGGUAUGCGAGGAGCUAAUAGACUGGGUGGGCGGGGGGCUAAUAGACUGGGUGGGCGGGGAGCUCACUUUGACUGACGGUUAUUUGAAAACACCUAUGUCAAGCAUCAUGGACGCAGUGAAAUUAUUUUAAGCUAAUUUGCUGAUUCACAAAGCAAACAACAUUGAAAUUGCAUGCAACAUCCAACAUACAUCACAUCAUGGUUUCACUUUUUUGUUGAUCCAGCUACUUGGUUAUUGUAACAGCAUCAAUAUAGACAAUCAUUUGUCAUAGCUUGCCCAAAUGGAAUUGUCAGCACUGCUUUAUCAAGCUAGCUAUCGAGUUAAUCUUGGACAAUUACAGUUGACACUGGACAGGGUGCGGUCUGGGUAUACUUCAUUAAAAAAAAUAUAGACUGCCAGACAAUGUUCAUAAACCAUGACUAUCAAGGAUGUCAAGAGUUUUGCAUGUCUCUUCAUGUGACAAAUGCAUCAGGGUUUUGAGUGACCCUUCCCCGUUUGUUCCAUCCUGGCUGAAGACCUACAGUGGGGCAAAAAAGUAUUUAGUCAGCCACCAAUUGUGCAAGUUCUCCCACUUAAAAAGAUGAGAGAGGCCUGUAAUUUUCAUCAUAGGUACACUUCAACUAUGACAGACAAAAUGAGAAAUGAAACAUCCAGAAAAUC
ensembl:lncRNA